UCUGAGAUUUUAGUUAGAUCUUGUAAGACCUUCAAGAAACAGUCAAUGUAAUCUGCAUUUCCUGAAGGUUUUAAGAUUUCAUUGUCUGCAAGUGCCCCUCUGCACUUGCUUCUCUCUUCCUCCACCCCACUUUGUUCAUGUCUCAGGAAAAGUGUACUUCAGCCUUCACUGACCAUAAACACAUAAAACUGACACAUGGUCAACAGUAUUUUAGGGCCUACAUGAAUAUUCAACUUGCUUUUUUUUUUUUUUUAACUUCUAAAAGAGCUGUUUUUCUAUCGCUCCAUGGCCAUCUUAGUAUCAUUCAUGCAAAGCAAGAAAGACAGGGAAGAUCCUAACAUCCAGGAUUUUCUUCUCUUCUUUGACAGGCAGUAAUGCUGUUCCUAAGUGCUCCACUAUUCACCCACGGAAAGGAAUCUUUUCCAACCUGCAUAACUGUCAAAAACGGACACAUUUGAAUGAGCUCUGUAUAGGCUGAGGACUGAAAUAUCAAAGCAGCAUUAUUUACACAUCCUACCAGAAAACACUGGUCCUCGGCUCCCCUCGCCCUUGUCUCCUGCUUAGUUUAACCCCAGGCCAAACAGCAUGGCUUACUAAUUGUGGAAUGCUGUUUUGAAUACAGGGUUCAAAUAGCAAAUUUAAACUGCAGAUUUAAUCUUCCGAGAACUGUUGAGAUGUAUGUAAUUUUCUUCCACAAAAGCUGAACAAAGAGAGGGUAUAACAUUAUGAUUGUGUAAAUCUUCUUUCAACACCUCCAUUGUACAAAGUGUAGACUCAGUGAUUGAAUAGCAACAAACAAAAGUCUUUCUUCAAUUAAACUCCAGUGACUCACACACAGAAGGCUUCAUCUAACAUAUCUACUAUAAUAAGAUUCCUCCUUUAAGGCAUGCAAAUCUUCACAGAGGCAGUGCAGAACUUCUUCAGUUUUAAGAGCUAUUUUGUUAAAAUUGGACAGGUCAUGCUCUGAUGAACAGAGUUCCAAAUGAAAUGGAGUUCAACCAGUAGUAGAUCAAGGUGUGCUACAGCUAGACAAUAAGUAUUCUAUUAUUUUAUUAUUUAUUUUGCUCUUCUUUUAUUUGUGAAAGGAUAUGUUUGAA